AUAGAUAACUUGUACUGCCAUCUAGCUGUCAAAAACAUCACUGGAAGGAGGGAUUUCAAUAGACGACGCCUUCAAGGGAGGAGGAGUCUACAACAUAUUGAAUUUAUCGAUCGAUUGUUAGGUCUAUUUUCGAUCGCCAUUGCGGCCAUUGUAUACCAUGGCCAUAGAAUCGCGACGUAGAAGAAGGGAAUCAAUUAGAUUGUUUAAUGGCGUAGGUUUUCGUAGUUUUCGACGCGAUGUGUGUUAAUUGGUGGAGAAACAUUGUCGUAAUCGGAUAUCGGAACGGAUUUCCAUAAUGUAAACGUGUUGUAACCGACCAGCACAAAAUUGAUAAAUUUUUUUUCAUUUAUCACAAAUUGGUUAUCAACAGCAUUUCCACUCUAUAGCAGCAGAAGCCAAGCUGUUCAGUCAACGGAAGACCAUUGUAAUUGCAGUUAAAGAGAUACAACAACUUUGUUGCCAAUAACAACAUGCUGCAUUUAUUUUGUCCACAGCCAAAAUAAAAUGCAACUUCUUCCUCAGGAGUAACACAUUGUGUGUUGCAGAUAUGUUAGCUUGUUGUGAUUUUAGACCACGGUAUAGACUGAGCCUUUGUAUCUGUGUCAAACCAGUUACAUCAACUCACUUGUUGUUGACACCCCUGGAGAUAUUACCAAACUUUCGAAAUGGUUGAAGCAGGCGCCCAUAAUAUGUCGAUUCAAUUUCAGUGCUAUCACUGUAAGGAUGGUAACCUGUUAUUAAGUUACACCACCUGUUUCAUUUGGUCAUAGGAUAGAUAGACCAAAAGAGUGAUACUCUUUAAUGUUUGCAGUGUGUUUGUCACAUUCAAUGAAUCCAUAUCUUCUCGUGAAUUGAUGGACUGAAUAAUGUCAGAUUGCCAAAAAAAAACAAACACUGGAACCCUUCUGCAUGACUUUGAACCACAAGAUAUUGAUCUUUUUUACAUUCGCCUUUUGGGUUGAACGGUAAAGAGUUUCACGGUUCACUGUUUUAUCCGAAAAUCGUAUAUCCACGAAAUGUUGGCAUCAUUGGUCUAUGAACAGAUAUGCUGAUGACUGAAAUCAAUUGGAUCAGCUGAAAACAUAUGUUGAGACAUCUAUGCAACUUUGUACUUGGAUAUGUGUCAUUCCACUGGUAGUAGAAACUUGGAAUCGCGUGUCUUCAACCAACUCACCUCAUCUAGGCCUGACCAGUAUCGGCCCGGAGAAAGUAGUCAACUAGUCACACGUCAGAUAAAAAAUCCUGCUAAGUAAACCAUAUGAUAAGGAAGUGAACAUCAAUCAUUCGAACGUGAGUCUAACUGGUCUAAUGAAAAAUAAGGAUUCAUUCGGUUACCGACUUGACCUGCACGAGGAUUUUAGCCAUAUCGGAUAUCGGAAAGGAACACCUUUACCGAACAUAAUGUUCUUCUAACGUAAAUUAUUGGAUGUUCAUUCUAUUUCGGAUUUAGAUUUCAUUUAGAAAUCCUGGCAGAAGCUUUUCAUUUAUAAGACCAUAGAAGUAUUGCACACACUAAUGUUUUAAAGUUAAUAAACAUAAUAAAUGGAAAAAGGGGUUUCAGAAUGAGGCGGGAGUUUUUUCAAUGCUGAAGUUUGAAAAAACGAUAGGAAAUACCCAUGAAAUGAAAAACAUUCUCUCACGUUAUGGUAUUUGUCGUACAUAAAUUGAAGUGCAUAUCUGGGCUCCCUUCUUUUCUGUGGCCCCGUUUCCCCUUGACUCGUAAUAAGCCCGUAGGGGGUCACGCCCCUACUGUACGGUAUAUAUAAAAACAACAUAUAUCGAGGUUUG